UCCGUAGGGUGCGAGCGUUGUCCGGAAUUAUUGGGCGUAAAGAGCUCGUAGGCGGUGUGUCACGUCGUUCGUGAAAACCUGCAGCUUAACUGUGGGCGUGCGGUCGAUACGGGCAUCACUGGAGUUCGGCAGGGGAGACUGGAAUUCCUAGUGUAGCGGUGAAAUGCGCAGAUAUCAGGAGGAACACCGAUGGCGAAGGCAGGUCUCUGGGCCACUACUGACGCUGAGAAGCGAAAGCAUGGGGAGCGAACAGG
rnacentral:rRNA from 1 species